AACAGAAAAACCAACAAAGUUCGUGUUGGACCAUCAGGGGGUCAUCUGCUGGGUUCCCGAAGCUGCGACGGGUGACGGCCGAAGCUCAGCAAGCUGUUCAAAUCAGAGGAUCCACAACUCCACUUGAAGUGCGGGGAUUGCUUCCAGUUCGAGCGCAAAGGUAUCACACUAAUUUUUCUUUGGGACAGUGAUUCCAGCUCGCGCAAGAGAAGCUGUGGGGACGCCAUCCAUCCAGUCGCAGCAGAAUUGUCGCUUCUGGGGUUAUGGACGAACCAGUUGACGUGAUGGAGGAGGAAAGAAGUCUUGAAACACACAACCAGCUCUAGCAACGGGCGGGGAGGAAAAAGCUGCUCCAGAAGAACGAGCUGAGGCGUCUUUUUACACUUCUCGGCUGCUUUUGUUGGUUUUCUAGCUGAUCUUGGUUCCAGCGGCAGCAGCAAAGCAGAAGCAUCCCUGUGCCUACGACUUCGUUUGUCCUACUUUUUCACUGAAUCUCUAGUUUUCUGAUGCU